AGAGUUUGAUCCUGGCUCAGAUUGAACGCUGGCGGCAGGCCUAACACAUGCAAGUCGAACGGUAACAUUUCUAGCUUGCUAGAAGAUGACGAGUGGCGGACGGGUGAGUAAUGCUUGGGAACUUGCCUUUGCGAGGGGGAUAACAGUUGGAAACGACUGCUAAUACCGCAUAACGUCUACGGACCAAACGGGGCUUAGGCUCCGGCGCAAAGAGAGGCCCAAGUGAGAUUAGCUAGUUGGUAAGGUAAUGGCUUACCAAGGCAACGAUCUCUAGCUGUUCUGAGAGGAAGAUCAGCCACACUGGAACUGAGACACGGUCCAGACUCCUACGGGAGGCAGCAGUGGGGAAUAUUGCACAAUGGGGGAAACCCUGAUGCAGCCAUGCCGCGUGUGUGAAGAAGGCCUUCGGGUUGUAAAGCACUUUCAGUUGUGAGGAAAAGUUAGUAGUUAAUACCUGCUAGCCGUGACGUUAACAAUAGAAGAAGCACCGGCUAACUCCGUGCCAGCAGCCGCGGUAAUACGGAGGGUGCGAGCGUUAAUCGGAAUUACUGGGCGUAAAGCGCACGCAGGCGGUUUGUUAAGCUAGAUGUGAAAGCCCCGGGCUCAACCUGGGAUAGUCAUUUAGAACUGGCAGACUAGAGUCUUGGAGAGGGGAGUGGAAUUCCAGGUGUAGCGGUGAAAUGCGUAGAUAUCUGGAGGAACAUCAGUGGCGAAGGCGACUCCCUGGCCAAAGACUGACGCUCAUGUGC
rnacentral:rRNA from 1 species